CGUUCCCAGGCCUUGUACACACCGCCCGUCACACCAUGGGAGUUGGUUUCACCCGAAGGCAGUGCGCUAACCGCAAGGAGGCAGCUGACCACGGUGGGAUCAGCGACUGGGGUGAAGUCGUAACAAGGUAGCCGUAGGGGAACCUGCGGCUGGAUCACCUCCUUAAGCUUGGAUCCCGGG
rnacentral:rRNA from 1 species